UACGUAGGGGGCAAGCGUUGUCCGGAAUUAUUGGGCGUAAAGAGCGUGUAGGCGGCCUGACAGGUCUGCUGUGAAAACUCGAGGCUCAACCUCGAGAUGUCGGCGGAAACCGUCUGGCUAGAGUCCGGAAGAGGAGAGUGGAAUUCCUGGUGUAGCGGUGAAAUGCGCAGAUAUCAGGAAGAACACCUAUGGCGAAGGCAGCUCUCUGGGACGGUACUGACGCUGAGACGCGAAAGCGUGGGGAGCGAACAGG
rnacentral:rRNA from 1 species